AGCACAAUGGGUAUACCAGGUGGUCUGUACGUUCACCUUGGUUGUAUUGAAAGUACUGAAAACAUUUCUAUCAGCAUGCUUUCUGCUAAGAGAAUAAAAAACACCCUUGAGAAACCCAUUUGAAAUGAGAGCUUCAUCAGCAAAAGUCUUUCCUUCAAUAAAUUUCUGAGUGAAACCUGAAAUGCAGUCUAGGGAAGGCUUUUUUAUUGGACAAGUCUUCACCAGCUAGGUCCCAGUAGAAAUUGGUGGGCAGAACUCACCAUGAAUGCCUCCCAUGUUCUCUUUUAAUGGCAAUGGUGCUCACCUGAGAGGUGCCAGAACCUAGUUCUGGUGAGUUCUGGCUAGGGAAAAAAGCCCUAGCCUUUUGUAAGAUCAGCUCAUGGAGAAUAAGGCUACCAGGGCGUACUAAACAUGAUGGAUAUGUUACUUCUAGUAACAUACUUCCCAUCCACACAAACAGCAAUUUUAUUUCUGUCUGAAAUUGCAUUGAGGGCUCUUAUCAGAGAGCUCCUUCUUAGAUUGUGGCCCUCAGCGGAUACCCAACCAGGCAAAGCCUUGACACCAAUCCUAGCCUGAAGCAGGAACUGCAUUUCUGCGUCAGUUUUUCAUUGUGGGCUUUGUGACGGUUGUUGGAUUUUGCUGUCUCCUGUCUUUGGGCUCCUUUUAUGGAGGUCUUAGUCUUAAUCCUUAAUCCCUCCAACUAAAUUUAUCAGCUGUUGAUUCUAGCCAAGAGUUAAGCUAAAUUAAACUUUGGAAUUCCAUGUAGAGUGUAUCAGAUGCACUUGAGUUAAGGGGAGGUGGAGCUGCAACCCAGCGAGUGCCCUAAUUACAAGCUGCCUGGGGAGCCAUCCUUCACACCAGAGGCUUCUUUCUCACCUCUUCAAGCCUGUUACAGUUUUGGUGGCUUUGACAUGACAGAAAACUGAUCCAGGGGUGCAGUGCGCCAAGUCAAAACACCUACUGUCCAGCAGAGAACUCAAGGGAAGUGAUGUCACACAGUGCCCUCUCUAGUAAUCAGGAACUCUAGAGCUGCGCUGCCGAUAAGCCACACUGAAGGACUGCUUUCAAAGGAUCUUUGCUUUUCCUGAUGCCCAGUAUCCGGGGGUGAGUGUUUUGAGCUCAGACUCGGCUCCAUAACACACCCACCACCGUACCUGCCUUGACAGAGGCGCGGCUCUGCCCUGGUUCCUUCCUCCCCACCCAGGUGUGGCCGCUCUGCGCGGGGGCUCCUCCAAUCAAUCCCAUCCUCCCUCCCGUUUGGCACACAGUUUAAAUAGCCGCGCGGGGACGGGAUGUCAUUUCGAUUCUCCGGGGACAAAUAAAUGGAAGUUUCAUCAGAGCGUCCCGCCAGAUUG